rnacentral:rRNA from 1 species
GCGAGCGCUGGCGGCAGGCCUAACACAUGCAAGUCGAACGAACUCUUCGGAGUUAGUGGCGGACGGGUGAGUAACACGUGGGAACGUGCCUUUUGGUUCGGAAUAACUCAGGGAAACUUGUGCUAAUACCGAAUGUGCCCUUCGGGGGAAAGAUUUAUCGCCAUUAGAGCGGCCCGCGUCUGAUUAGCUAGUUGGUGAGGUAACGGCUCACCAAGGCGACGAUCAGUAGCUGGUCUGAGAGGAUGACCAGCCACACUGGGACUGAGACACGGCCCAGACUCCUACGGGAGGCAGCAGUGGGGAAUCUUGCGCAAUGGGCGAAAGCCUGACGCAGCCAUGCCGCGUGAAUGAUGAAGGUCUUAGGAUUGUAAAAUUCUUUCACCGGGGACGAUAAUGACGGUACCCGGAGAAGAAGCCCCGGCUAACUUCGCG